rnacentral:rRNA from 1 species
UGGGGAACCUGCCCCAUAGUCUGGGAUACCACUUGGAAACAGGUGCUAAUACCGGAUAAGAAAGCAGAUCGCAUGAUCAGCUUUUAAAAGGCGGCGUAAGCUGUCGCUAUGGGAUGGCCCCGCGGUGCAUUAGUUAGUUGGUAAGGUAAAGGCUUACCAAGGCGAUGAUGCAUAGCCGAGUUGAGAGACUGAUCGGCCACAUUGGGACUGAGACACGGCCCAAACUCCUACGGGAGGCAGCAGUC